CAUCGAGUCUUUGAACGCACAUUGCGCCCGGCAGUAAUCUGCCGGGCAUGCCUGUCCGAGCGUCAUUUCAACCCUCGAACCUCCGUUUCCUCAGGGAAGCCCAGGGUCGGUGUUGGGGCGCUACGGCGAGUCUUCGCGACCCCCGUAGGCCCUGAAAUACAGUGGCGGUCCCGCCGCGGUUGCCUUCUGCGUAGUAAGUCUCUUUUGCAAGCUCGCAUUGGGUCCCGGCGGAGGCCUGCCGUCAAACCACCUAACAACUCCAGAUGGUUUGACCUCGGAUCAGGUAGGGUUACCCGCUGAACUUAAGCAUAUCAAUAAGCGGAGGAAAAGAAACCAACAGGGAUUGCCUCAGUAACGGCGAGUGAAGCGGCAACAGCUCAAAUUUGAAAUCUGGCGGCCUCUGGGCCGUCCGAGUUGUAAUUUGAAGAGGAUGCUUUUGGCGAGGCGCCUUCCGAGUGCCCUGGAACGGGACGCCACAGAGGGUGAGAGCCCCGUAUGGUUGGACGCCGAGCCUCUGUAAAGCUCCUUCGACGAGUCGAGUAGUUUGGGAAUGCUGCUCAAAAUGGGAGGUAAACCCCUUCUAAAGCUAAAUACUGGCCAGAGACCGAUAGCGCACAAGUAGAGUGAUCGAAAGAUGAAAAGCACUUUGAAAAGAGAGUUAAAUAGCACGUGAAAUUGUUGAAAGGGAAGCGCUUGCGACCAGACUUGUGCCCGUCGAAUCAGCCGCCGCUCGCCGGCGGCGCACUUCGGCGGGCUCAGGCCAGCAUCAGUUCGCUGCAGGGGGAGAAAGGCGGCGGGAAUGUGGCUCUUCGGAGUGUUAUAGCCCGCCGCGCAAUACCCCUCGGCGGACUGAGGACCGCGCAUCUGCAAGGAUGCUGGCGUAAUGGUCGUCAGCGACCCGUCUUG
rnacentral:sRNA from 1 species